CUUUACUAUAGCCUGGAAUUGUGUUCGGGCUUCGCUUACGCAGGAUAGGUGGGAGGCUGUGAAGUUCUGCUUGUGGGCAGAAUCGAGCCAACGGUGAGAUACCACUUUAGCGAGGCUAGAACUCUAACCCUUACCCGUCAUCCGGGAAGGAGACAGUUUCAGGGGGGUAGUUUGGCUGGGGCGGUCGCCUCCUAAAAGGUAACGGAGGCGCGCAAAGGUUCCCUCAGGCUGGUUGGAAAUCAGCCCCAGAGUGCAAAGGCAUAAGGGAGCUUGACUGCAAGACCUACAAGUCGAGCAGGGUGGAAACACGGUCUUAGUGAUCCGACGGUGCCGCAUGGAAGGGCCGUCGCUCAACGGAUAAAAGUUA
rnacentral:rRNA from 1 species